rnacentral:rRNA from 1 species
UACGUAGGUGGCAAGCGUUGUCCGGAUUUAUUGGGCGUAAAGCGUGCGCAGGCGGUUGUGUAAGACAGAUGUGAAAUCCCCGGGCUCAACCUGGGAACUGCAUUUGUGACUGCACAGCUGGAGUGCGGCAGAGGGAGAUGGAAUUCCGCGUGUAGCAGUGAAAUGCGUAGAUAUGCGGAGGAACACCGAUGGCGAAGGCAAUCCCCUGGGCCUGCACUGACGCUCAUGCACGAAAGCGUGGGGAGCAAACAGG